GAGUGAUCCUGCGCCGAAGAUUUCCGGGGCUAAAACUUACUACCGAAGCUACGGCAUCAGUAAUGAUGGGUAGGGGAGCUUCCCAUACGGGUUGAAGCAUGACCGUAAGGACAUGUGGACAGUAUGGGAGUGAGAAUGUUGGCAUGAGUAGCGAGAUGUGGGUGAGAAUCCCACAGGCCGUAAACCCAAGGUUUCCAGGGGAAGGUUCGUCCGCCCUGGGUUAGUCGGGACCUAAGCUGAGGCCGAAAGGCGUAGGUGAUGGACAACAGGUUGAUAUUCCUGUACUACCGAUAACCGUUUGAGGGAAGGGAUGACACAGUAGGAUAAGCUAAGCACACUGUUGGUUAUGUGUGCCCAAGCAUUGAGGCAGUCAAAGUAGGCAAAUCCGCUUUGAUAAUACUGGGAUGUGAUGGGGAGCGAAAUUUAGUAGCGAAGUAGCUGAUUUCACACUGUCAAGAAAAGUCUCUAUCGAGGUUAAAGGUACCCGUACCGCAAACCGACACAGGUGGGUGAGGAGAGUAUCCUAAGGCCAGCGAGAGAACUGUUGUUAAGGAACUCGGCAAAAUGACCCCGUAACUUAGGGAUAAGGGGUGCCACCAUCAGGUGACCGCAGAGAAUAGGCCCAAGCGACUGUUUACCAAAAACAUAGGUUUCUGCUAAGUCGCAAGACGAUGUAUAGGAGCUGACGCCUGCCCGGUGCUGGAAGGUUAAGGGG
rnacentral:rRNA from 1 species